GGGGAUGUCAUGGUUUCGACAGGUAUUUUCGAGCUUAUGAUGCGUCAGGAAGGUUACGUCUUCCUAAAAACGUUACAGUUAAAUAUAACUGCAAAAACAACAAACAACAAUUUUGCUUUAGCAGCCUAAAAACUGCGGGCAAAGAUCGGCCUAGCAUCGCCCAUGUGUUAGUUCCCGGUCUCAAAUUCAGUGGGAUACGUUCUAUGAAUCCGUCUGCUUCAUAGAAAAGAGACGACCAGACUCGCUACAAGUGAUGCGUGUUUAUCAGCUAGCUUGAUGCUAAAGUAAAGAAUAAACUAUUGGCGUAGAGUUGUAAGUGGCGGAAUAUUUGGACAGGAGUUCGACUCUCCUCAUCUCCAUUU
rnacentral:tmRNA from 1 species